rnacentral:rRNA from 1 species
ACGAUGGAUAGGGGUUCUGAGAGGAAGGUCCCCCACACUGGUACUGAGACACGGACCAGACUCCUACGGGAGGCAGCAGUGAGGAAUAUUGGUCAAUGGGCGAGAGCCUGAACCAGCCAAGUCGCGUGAAGGAUGAAGGAUCUAUGGUUUGUAAACUUCUUUUAUAUGGGAAUAAAGUGAGGAACGUGUUCCUUUUUGUAUGUACCAUAUGAAUAAGCAUCGGCUAACUCCGUGCCAGCAGCCGCGGUAAUACGGAGGAUGCGAGCGUUAUCCGGAUUUAUUGGGUUUAAAGGGUGCGUAGGUGGUUAAUUAAGUCAGCGGUGAAAGUUUGUGGCUCAACCAUAAAAUUGCCGUUGAAACUGGUUGACUUGAGUAUAUUUGAGGUAGGCGGAAUGCGUGGUGUAGCGGUGAAAUGCAUAGAUAUCACGCAGAACUCCGAUUGCGAAGGCAGCUUACUAAACUAUAACUGACACUGAAGCACGAAAGCGUGGGGAUCAAACAGGAUUAGAUACCCUGGUAGUCCACGCAGUAAAC